rnacentral:rRNA from 1 species
AUUGAACGCUGGCGGCAGGCCUAACACAUGCAAGUCGAACGAGGGGCGGACGGGUGAGUAAUGUCUGGGAAACUGCCUGAUGGAGGGGGAUAACUACUGGAAACGGUAGCUAAUACCGCAUACCAUCAGAUGUGCCCAGAGGGGAUUAGCUAGUUGGUGGGGUAACGGCUCACGAAGGCGACGAUCCCUCGCUGGGCUGAGAGGCUGACCAGCAACACUGGAACUGAGACACGGUCCAGACUCCUACGGGAGGCAGCAGUGGGGACUAUUGCACAAUGGGCUCAAGCCGGAUGCAGCCAUGCCGCGUGUAUGAAGAGGGCCUUCGGGUUGUAAAGUACUUUCAGCGGGGAGGCGUUACCCGCAGAAGAAGCACCGGCUAACUCCGUGCCAGCAGCCGCGGUAAUUC